UACGUAGGGUCCGAGCGUUGUCCGGAAUUAUUGGGCGUAAAGAGCUCGUAGGCGGUUUAUCGCGUCUGCUGUGAAAUCCCGAGGCUCAACCUCGGGUCUGCAGUGGGUACGGGCAGACUGGAGUGCGGUAGGGGAGAAUGGAAUUCCUGGUGUAGCGGUGGAAUGCGCAGAUAUCAGGAGGAACACCGAUGGCGAAGGCAGUUCUCUGGGCCGUAACUGACGCUGAGGAGCGAAAGCGUGGGGAGCGAACAGG
rnacentral:rRNA from 1 species